rnacentral:tRNA from 2 species
GGGGCUAUAGCUCAGCUGGGAGAGCGCUUGAAUGGCAUUCAAGAGGUCAGCGGUUCGAUCCCGCUUAGCUCCAC